UACGGGGGGAGCAAGCGUUGUUCGGAUUUACUGGGCGUAAAGGGCGCGUAGGCGGCCACCGCAAGUCGACUGUGAAAUCUCCGGGCUUAACCCCGGAAAGGUCAACUGAUACUGCGGGGCUAGAGUGCAGAAGGGGCAACUGGAAUUCUCGGUGUAGCGGUGAAAUGCGUAGAUAUCGAGAGGAACAGCCUGCGGCGAAGGCGGGUGCUGGGCCGACACUGACGCUGAGGCGCGAAACGCCAGGGGAGCGAACGGG
rnacentral:rRNA from 1 species